rnacentral:rRNA from 2 species
GGACUACUGGGGUAUCUAAUCCUGUUUGAUCCCCACGCUUUCGUGCCUCAGCGUCAAUAUUUGUGUAGCCAGCUGCCUUCGCAAUUGGUGUUCUAUGUCAUAUCUAUGCAUUUCACCGCUACAUGACAUAUUCCGCUAACCUCCACAACAUUCAAGACAUAUAGUAUCCAUGGCAGUUUCCGAGUUAAGCUCGGAGAUUUCACCACGGACUUAAAUGUCCGCCUACGCACCCUUUAAACCCAGUGAAUCCGGAUAACGCUUGCACCCUCCGUAUUACCGCGGCUGCUGGCAC